CCCGCCGGGGCCGCCCCCACUCCCGGGCCUCCUCCUCCUCCUCCUCCGGCCGCCGGGUUGUUCGCUCCGCACUGAUUGCUCAGGAUCCGUGCUCAGCUCCUCAAGGCGCGUGCACACACGAGCAAACGCACAGUCCUGGUGCAGCCCUCCAUUGCACUCUGCUGCCACACAGAGCUGUGCCAGCUGUAGGGUCGGAGCUGAGACCCUACACAGCUGAAGGAUCUCGUGGGAUCAAUCUCUGUGGCUGCACACACCGGCGUGGAUCGACGGCUUUGCGUCGCGUUAUCUCAUAUCUGCUCCUGCUGCAUUGCACACCGGCAGGUUUCUACUGCAUUAUCCUAAUUGGGGGAACUCCCAUUCCCACAGCUAUGCACAGCUCAGAGCUGGCCAUUAACUGACCCUUCUGGCACCCAGUCUGCAUGCAGGAAUGCACGGCAGCCCUGAGAGAGACGCUGCUUUUCCUUCUGAAAUCUUCCUGCAAUUACUGAUAACCGAGCACUGAACAUGGACGCGCUCUCUUUCAAAAACACCACGUCCUUCUCCUCGCAGCACGUCGCAGUUACACCCCUUUGCUGGCAGAGCUGUUUCCAUGCAUUUCAGCAUUGGUUUUUUGCUCAAAACUCUGUUUUCCGCUCUGUCCUGCUUGUGUUUCGCUGCCUCAUUAGGGCUGCAAGCAUCAGAGGGAGCUGCAGGCUGCUGCUCGGCCCCGUGUGCAGCUGCAAGAGUGGACACUGCAUGGAGCAAGCAGCACCGGCCUUUGGCCACCAUGCAGGCAACUAAUUAGAGCCCUGCGUGUGAUGAAAUAAAUGAAAAUUAGUCGUUUUGCGGUGGUGGCCUGAUAGUUAAAAGUCAGGCCAAUGGAAAGAAGGAGAGAAAUAAUCGUAUGGACAGUGGAGGAAUGUGCUCGGGGUGCUGUCACACCCAGGCAGGGGUGCAGAAAGGACGGGGAGAAGCGGCUGCUCAUCUCUGGAGCGAAGCAGAAGUGAUCAGCAGUGUUAUUAGACAAAGAGGCGCCGUCAGAAACAGUGCCAUCUGGGAGGCUUCGACUUCCCCAAAAUAAAGCUGAGAACAAACGCUCCUAAAAACGGCACCGCGCCGCUAUUUCUAGACCUGAUCACCACCAGAUUGCUGCUUUACCAAUCAGGCGCUCGCAGCCGGCUCAGCACAACCAGCAGCCCGAGCACCGCAGGAAGCAGAGGACAUCCUACGUUGCUUUGUGUUGUGGAGCCAGCCCUGAGCAGAGGCAGCGGGGUACAAUGCGUCAGCUCAGCUUUGGCAGUCUUCAUCCAUCAUAAAGCAGAGAAAAUCCCCCCAUUUCUAUUAAAAAAAAAAAAGUUAACUUCACAGUACAAGUUUCUACCCAGUCCUACGUCAGGUCAGCGGGGGGCCGGAGGGGAGUGCAGGGAUGGGAGAAGGCAAAAUGCUUAAAGUUUCCAGCUUCAAAACUAACGUAACAUCUGGUUUCUGGGAUAGGUGCUUUGCGGGGCUUUGCAGGAGUGGGUGAAGGGCUUUGGGGAGCACCUGUGGGUGCCACAGGGCUGAUCCUGAACCCCACAGCCUGACCCCGUGCUGCUCCCACCCCACAGCAGACCUCAGGAACCCCAGCCCGAGGCGUUGGCUGCGCAUCCUUCCAGCAGUUCUUAAUAUAAGACAACGAGGAAUCAUCCACAACUGAUAGCACAAA